UACGGAGGGUGCGAGCGUUGUUCGGAAUCACUGGGCGUAAAGCGCGUGUAGGCGGCCCACUAAGUCUGAUGUGAAAGCCCGGGGGCUCACCCCCCGGAAGUGCAUUGGAAACUGGUGGACUCGAGUCCCGGAGAGGAGAGUGGAAUUCCGUGGUGUAGCGGUGAAAUGCGUAGAAUAUCAGGAGGAACACCGGUGGCGAAGGCG
rnacentral:rRNA from 1 species